GCCAGGGCCGUGUCCUUCACCGAGGUGACGGAGGUCUCCUGCUGUCCCUGCAGAUGCCGACGAACAGCCCUCGGGGAUAAAGGAGCGGGACACGGAACAAAGGGCACCCGUCCCCUGCGUCCGGCCCACAGGGCGAACCACAGGCGGGUCUCCGAGCUCAGAGGCCAUCUCUGCGGCCCCGGAGCCUCUUCUGCCGGCCUCUGGGCGCCGGCUGGCCCAGGACGCGGGGCCGAGGGUUCUGGGGGGACAGGCUCCCUCUCUCGGCUCCCCCCGCCGCGCCCACAGCCUGACCCCUGGAACCCAGGACCUCUCCGCACGCCCCACCCGACCCGGCCACGGAGCAGAUGGCAGGCCAAGACCCUCGGGAGCGGCUCUUGGGCGCCAUUGGCGAUGCGCGUGCGCGUGCGCGUGCGCGUGGCGGGCGGUCACGGGCACGCGCUUUCUCUGGCCGUUGUGCACAGGGCCAGGAAGGGAGCCCGGCCGACCUCGGGGUCCGCCCAUGUCCGCCGCUGGAGGGAGGCAGUGCGGCUCCGAGCGCGUCCCCGCCACAGCCCGCGGGGAGAGCCCGGCCAUGGCCACGCCAAGCUGGGCUGCUGUAGCCCCAGGACCUGCCCCUCAGGGGACAGUGGGGAAACGGAGGCCAGGAGCGGCAGGGACUGGCUGGGCGCUUGAGCUGGGCAGAGGCCAGAGGACAAGAAAUAGAGGCUCCUCCCGUUUGCAUCGCGGCGUCUGUGUUUCCAUUCACUGGCUUAUUCAUCCACUCGUUCACUCAUGGCCUCACUCACUCACUCAUUCAGCCAGUCAUUCAUUCAUUCAGGCUUUCACUCAUUCAUCAUCCGUUCAUUCGUUCAGCUCCUGCUAGGGCUGUGGAGCCAGCUGAAGACAGGGCCCAGGAGCUGGGAUAGCCAUCCCCCACUCCAGCUCCUGCUGGGACUCUUGAGCUGGCUGAAGACGCGGCCAUGGAGCAGGGAGAGCCAUCCCCUGCUCCAGCUCCCACCAUGGCUGUGGAGCCAGCUGAACAUGUGGCCCCAGAACAGGGAGAGCCAUGCCCUGCUCCGGCUCCUGCCAGGGCCCAGGAGCAAGCUGAAGUCACGGCCAGGGAAGAGGGAAAGCCAUCUGCUGCUCCAGAUUCUGCCUGUGCCUGGAAGACUGCUGAAGCCUCAGCCACGGUCCAGAGAGAGCCAUCCACUUCUCUGCCUCCUGCUGGGGCUGGCGAGGCAGCUGAAACCACAGCUGCAGAUCACGGACAGCCAUCCCCUUGUCUAGAUCCUCCUGGGCACCUGGAGCCUGCUCAGGCGCUAGCCCUGUCCUCGGGAGAGCUCACUCUCCAACCCCCGUCAUCCCCAGCUCCUGACCCAUCCCUUCCACCUUCUUCCUCACCACGACCUCCCUUCGUCUCCCCCCUUAACCUGUAUGUCUGUGUGGCCAUUUAUGUUUUUUGAUUUCUUGUCUUGUUGUGGUGUUUGUGUCAGUUUUGAAAUAGAUUUGUUGAUUUAUAUUUUAAGAAAUCUGUGUUUUCUCCUUUUAAAUUGUACAAUUCCUGAGUAUUAAGUUCCCAGCUCAUAGAGACAGCCCCCAACAGCUCACUCAUCUAGCACAUGUCUGGAAGGAGCACCAUGUUUUCGUGUUGUCUGCCCAUCUGCCGGGUCCGCAGACUCAGCAGAGACCGCCACGAGCACCCAAGAUGCAGAUGCUGGCUCCUGUCCCACUUGAGACAUCUCUGGACGUUUGUGAGAAAGGACACAAAGAGGUCAUCUCAGGAGGUGGGCACAGAGCUGGUGGAAGGGGACACGGAGUCCAUCUCCCCGAGGGAGGAGAAGCUGUGCAGGAACACUGGAGCGACAUGCGUGGGGAAAAGGCCAGCGUCAGAGCCAGUACAGGGCCCAGCACAUGUGUGGGGAGAACAAUCCUUUUGAGCAGCUCCUGCAGAAGAGCAGGAGACAAGCGGGGCCCCACGCCGGAAGCAGGGAGAGCCAGCCCCUACUCAGGCUCCUGCAGGAGCCAUGCUGCCUGCUGUGCUCGAAACAGCUGAGCAGGGAGACCCAUGCCCUGCUCUGGCUCCUGCAGGGGCCCAGGAGCCAGCUGAAGCCGCAGCCAUGGACCAGGGAGAGCCAUCCCCUGCUCCAGAUCCUGCCAGGCCCCAGGAGCCUGCUGAAGCCGGGGCCAUGGACCAGGGAGAGGCAUCCCCAUCUCCAGCUCCUGCCAGGAUUGUGGAGGUGGCUGAAGCCUGGACCACAGCCCAGGGGGAGCAAUCCCCUGCUCCAGCUCCUGCCAGGGUCCUGGGGCAGGCUGAAGCUGCGGCAGCACACCAGGGGGAUCCAUUCCCUGCUUCAGCUCCUGCCAGGGCUGUAGAGACAGCUGAAGCUGUGGGAGCACACCAGGGAGAGCCAUCCCAUGCUCCAGAUCCUCCUGGAGCCAUGGAGCCCGCUCAGGCCCCAGGAUUGUCCCCAGGAGAGCUCACUCUCCAACCCCCUGUCAUCCCCAGGUCCUGACCCAUCCCUUCCACCUUCUCCCUCACCACAACCUCCCUUCCUCUCGCCCCUUGACCGGUAUGUCUGUGUAGCCGUUUAUGUUUCUCAUUUUAUUGUCUUUUUUUGGUGUUUAUGUAAAUUGUAAAAUAAAUUUCUUUCUAUUUGAAGA
ensembl:lncRNA